rnacentral:rRNA from 1 species
AGCAGCCGCGGUAAUUCCAGCUCCAAUAGCGUAUAUUAAAGUUGUUGCAGUUAAAAAGCUCGUAGUUGAAUUUCGGGGUUCUUCCGUUGGUCGGGCUAUCCAGUCUGUACUAGCGUGUAGAAUUCCUACCUUCUGGGGAACCAUCAUGUUAUUAAUCUAGCGUGGUGGGAAACCAGGACCUUUACCUUGAAAAAAUUAGAGUGUUCAAAGCAGGCUUACGUCUGAAUACAUUAGCAUGGAAUAAUAGAAUAGGACGGUGGUCCUGUUUUGUUGGUUUCUGAAUCACCGUAAUGAUUAAUAGGGAUAGUUGGGGGCAUUAGUAUUCAAUUGUCAGAGGUGAAAUUCUUGGAUUUAUUGAAGACUAACUUCUGCGAAAGCAUUUGCCAAGGAUGUUUUCAUUAAUCAAGAACGAAAGUUAGGGGAUCGAAGACGAUCAGAUACCGUCGUAGUCUUAACCAUAAACUAUGCCGACUAGGGAUCGGACGAUGUUAAAUUUAUUGACUCGUUCGGCGCCUUACUG